rnacentral:rRNA from 1 species
AGAGUUUGAUCCUGGCUCAGAAUCAACGCUGGCGGCGCGCUUAACACAUGCAAGUCGCACGAGAAAGUGGAGCAAUCCAUGAGUAAAGUGGCGUACGGGUGAGUAACACGUGGAUCAUUUACCUCUUGGUGGGGAAUAACCCUGGGAAACCGGGGCUAAUACCGCAUAAGCCUGCGAAGGGAAAGCAGCAAUGCGCCGAGAGAGGAGUCCGCGGCCGAUUAGCUUGUUGGUAGGGUAAUGGCCUACCAAGGCAAUGAUCGGUAGCCGGCCUGAGAGGGCACACGGCCACACUGGCACUGAAACACGGGCCAGACUCCUACGGGAGGCAGCAGUGGGGAAUCUUGCACAAUGGGGGCAACCCUGAUGCAGCGACGCCGCGUGAGCGAUGAAGCCCUUCGGGGUGUAAAGCUCUUUCGGCAGGAACGAUAAUGACGGUACCUGCAGAAGAAGCUGCGGCUAACUACGUGCCAGCAGCCGCGGUAAUACGUAGGCAGCAAGCGUUGUUCGGAGUUACUGGGCGUAAAGAGUGUGUAGGCGGUUCUCUAAGUUCCGUGUGAAAUCUCCCGGCUCAACUGGGAGGGUGCGCGGAAAACUGGAGGGCUUGAGUAUGGGAGAGGAAAGCGGAAUUCCUGGUGUAGCGGUGAAAUGCGUAGAUAUCAGGAGGAACACCUGCGGUGUAGACAGCUUUCUGGACCAUCACUGACGCUGAGACACGAAAGCGUGGGUAGCAAACAGGAUUAGAUACCCUGGUAGUCCACGCCCUAAACGAUGCAUACUUGGUGUGAGCCGUUCAUUCGGUUCGUGCCGGAGCUAACGCGUUAAGUAUGCCGCCU